rnacentral:rRNA from 1 species
UUCGUAGGCGGUGCGGUAAGUCGGAAGUGAAAUCUCUGGGCUUAACUCAGAGGCUGCUUUCGAAACUACCGUGCUAGAGUGCGGGAGAGGCGAGUGGAAUUGCAGGUGUAGCGGUGAAAUGCGUAGAUAUCUGCAGGAACACCCGUGGCGAAGGCGGCUCGCUGGACCGCAACUGACGCUGAGGAACGAAAGCUAGGGGAGCAAACAGGAUUAGAUACCCUGGUAGUCCUAGCCCUAAACCAUCAGGACUUGGGGUGGCCGCGUUGGCGGGUCGUCCCGGAGCUAACGCGUUAAGUCCUGCGCCUGGGGAGUACGGUCGCAAGGCUGAA